UACGUAGGGUGCGAGCGUUGCCCGGAUUUAUUGGGCGUAAAGAGCGCGCAGGCGGUCGCUCAAGUCGAGUGUGAAAGCCCCCGGCUCAACUGGGGAGGGUCACUCGAUACUGAUCGACUUGAAGGCAGGAGAGGGAAGCGGAAUUCCCGGUGUAGUGGUGAAAUGCGUAGAUAUCAGGAGGAACACCCGUGGCGAAAGCGGCUCUCUGGGACGGUACUGACGCUGAGACGCGAAAGCGUGGGGAGCAAACAGG
rnacentral:rRNA from 1 species